CGAUGGUAUGCAGCACUCUGACCAGCCAUGCCGCGUGCAGGAAGACGGCCCUAUGGGUUGUAAACUGCUUUUGUACCAGAGAAAACCCUCUUACGUGUAGGAGGUUGAUAGUAUGGUAAGAAUAAGCAUCGGCUAACUUCGUGCCAGCAGCCGCGGUAAU
rnacentral:rRNA from 1 species